UUCGCGUCUUCGGCAGAGUCGGACAAGAAGCACAAGAAGGAAAAGAAGAGCGGCAGUAAAGGCUCCGAAUCCAAACAGCCGAAGCUCCCGGAGCAUCAGGGGAUGCGAAGAAGGAGAAGAAGAGGAAGGCGCUGGAGCUGCGCGAGGACGACGAGGAAGACAAGAGCGAGACCAGCUCCGAGCUGGUUGACCCCGAGAACUUGAAGGGGAAGAAGAAGAAAAAGAAGAAGGCGAGGUUGAGCGACGGCAAUAAUAAGGUGGCUCAGGAGGAGAAACCCAACGCUGUGUUGAAUUUCAAGAUCUCGGACAGCUUGAGGUUGAAGUUGAAGGACAAUGGUAUCGAGGCGCUGUUUCCCAUUCAGACCAUGACGUUUGAUAUCGUCCACGAUGGGACUGAUUUGGUCGGCCGUGCCUGCACUGGUCAGGGCAAAACUCUAGCUUUUGUCUUGCCCAUUUUGGAAUCUCUGACGAAUGGGCCUGCAAAAACCUCAAGGAAGACAGGAUGUGGUAGGCCACCAAGUGUUUUGGUGCUUUUACCUACUAGGGAAUUGGCCAAGCAGGUGUUUUCUGAUUUUGAAGUUAAUGGUGGAGCAGUGGGCUUAACAUCAUGUUGUUUGUAUGGUGGAGCUCCUUAUCAUGCUCAGGAGAGCCAAUCGAGGAGAGGGGUCGAUAUAAUGAUUGGAACACCUGGCCGUGUGAAAGUAACUCAUUGAAUUGGAAGCUUAUUUGGUAAGUAUUCACGCAAAUCAUUGUGGGUCCUAGGAAGUGUUGGCGAGCCUAUCAAUCCAAGUGCGUGGAGGUGGUUUUUCAAUGUAGUCGGGGAUUCAGAGUGCCCUAUAUCUGACACUUGGUGGCAAACUGAAACUGGUGGCUUCAUGAUCACACCAUUAUCUGGUGCCUGGCCACAGAAACCUGGAUCUGCUACUUUUCUUUUCUUUGGGGUUCAGCCUGUCAUAGUGGAUGAAAAGGGGGUUGAAAUUGAAGGUGAGUGUAGUGGAUACCUGUGCAUUAAAAGUUCCUGGCCUGGGGCAUUUUGUACAGUCUAUGGUGAUCAUGAGCAAUACGAAACAACAUACUUCAACCAUUCCCAGGAUACUAUUUUACUGGUGAUGGCUGCAGCAGGGACAAGGAUGGUUACGACUGGCUGACUGGUAGAGUUGAUGAUGUCAUCAAUGUCAGUGGACACCGGAUUGGAACAGCAGAAGUUGAAUCUGCUCUUGUCUCGCAUCCCAAAUGUGCGGAAGCUGCGGUUGUUGGUGUUGAGCAUGAGGUGAAAGGACAAGGCAUUUAUGCCUUUGUCAUUCUGGUGGAAGGUGAACCUUACAGCGAAGAACUGAAAAGAGGCCUCAUACUCACCGUGAGGAAACAGAUAGGAGCAUUUGCUCCGGGAUCAACGGUUGAGGAAGGGGAUACUCUGGGAUUGGCAGCAAUUUUGUCAGCUAUACCUUUCUGUCAAGGAAAAUUCUUUUGUACAGAUAUGAAGUUGUCAGAAGCAUCCACAUCUUACUAGAAGCUGGUGCAUGGAGGCCUUUUCAAUCUCUCUCACCAAAAUUCUUUGACUUAGCCUGUCUUGGUCCAUCUCUUCAGGUUUUGCAUAAUGCGAGUUGUACAAAAUCCCUUGUCUUGAGCUCAUAGAUAUCCCUGAGGAAUGUAUUAUUUGCUCCUGGAUCGAGAUGAAUCGGCUGUUAAAUUCUGGAGUUUGUAGAAGUUUUUCAGUCUCGAGCUUACAUGGCAAGCUUUAGCUCGAGGCUUUUGUCCCCAGUACUUAAGAACAGUCCUGACACUCAGAAAUAUGAUAAAGAACAGAAUUCAGUAGCCUUGGAGGUCUCAGAGACUACGCCAGGAACAAUGUAGUAUCCAAAUGCAAGCUGCAAAGAGAAGCCAGGCACCUCUUCCUUCACAGGUGAAUGAUGAUUGGAUAAUUCUUGACAAGACAGUUGCUGAUCAAGUGUCUUUGUGGAAAAGCAGCAAUGGGUUCACUGAUGCAUUGGUUCUGGACCAUGUUUGUUCAGGAGAAACGUGUUCUUAUCAUCAAAUUGGCGAUGUCUUUGUUUGUGAGAAGACUGGAAAUGUUCAGGUCUGUGAUGAGACGUGCAGAGAAAACUGUUAUGGAUCCUGGCAAUGAGCUCUUGGUUUGCAAAAUAUCUGGACACUGUUUAAAUAGGUUGCUGUCAGCUGCUGAAAUGGAGACUGAUGCCAUGAGAGCAGCAGCAAGGUGGUGUGACAGAUGAAGCUGAACCAUUCAUGGGACCUGGUCGAUUUGCACGAGCUUAUGUCUUGGGAUAAAGAGAAUUAGAUGCUGUGUUGAGGUUCUGCUGAGUUUUGGGGAUGGAACGUAUAUGCCUUGAUCCUCCUCUCAAGCGGAUUCCACUAGGGAAAUUGCAAUGUCCUAAGUGCCGCUCGAAAAGUGAUUCAGUUGAGCUAAUAAGCCAUCUCGAUUCCAGUUUGAACCGAGCUCGGAUGAAAAUUUGUGGGUCAAGAUCCGAGACAUUGUCUAGCACGGAAAAAGUAUCUCAAAUGCUUGGUGGCUCCCAUUUUCCAAGCAAGAGGUCUUUGAGUGGAGGGAAUUCUGUUGUAACACCUGAAGUUCAGCCAUUGGAAGAAGGUUUCUGGAGAGUUGAAAACCCCACCCGUAAAGCCAAAGAAAAGAGACCGUCAUGUGAAUGACACACCAAUGUGCAUAAGCGGCACCGCCAGAGUGAAUUUCAGCAGCAGGACAGACAUCAACAUAGUACUUCCAGCAAAAUCAACUUAGAUGCAGGAGAUGGGUGGACUCGUUGAUGAUAGACAAGCUGAUAUAAGCAUUGACAGUGACAUCAAACUGCACAAUCUGAAUGUUUUUCAAUGGUUAUUCUCUUAUCGGCUGGAAUUUUAAUGGUAAAGCUGGAGGAAGAGUAAAAAACUGUAUAACUUGGUUGACGACAUUUUAUCUUUCUUCUAUUGAGGUUGAAAGACGUGUUUUGAGCAGGUUCGUCUAUGUAGACCUGCUGUGUAUAAAGUUUACUUAUCAGGUUUAGUUCAAAUGCAUUACUGUUGUUCCUUUUCAA